rnacentral:rRNA from 1 species
AGAGUUUGAUCCUGGCUCACGAUAAACGCUGGCGGUGUGCCUUAUGCAUGCAAGUCGAACGAGGUCUGGGACUUCGGUUCUAGACCUGUGGCGAACGGGUGAGUAACACGUACGUAACCUGUCCGAAAGUGGGGAACAACUCCGCGAAAGCGGAGCUAAUACCGCAUAUGGUUCCCGGUGAAAGACCGGGGAACAAAAGCCUUCGGGCGCUUUCGGAGGGGCGUGCGGCCGAUUAGCUAGUUGGUGUGGUAACGGCGCACCAAGGCGACCAUCGGUAGCUGGUCUGAGAGGACGGCCAGCCACACAGGGACUGAGACACGGCCCCGACUCCUACGGGAGGCAGCAGCAAGGAAUUUUGCGCAAUGGGCGAAAGCCUGACGCAACAACACCGCGUGGGGGAUGAAGGCCUUCGGGUCGUAAACCCCUUUUGUAAGGGAAACAACUGAAGGGACCCUACGAAAAAGCGAACGGUAACUAACGUGGCCCCAACCCCCGUAAUACCGUAGGCCCCAAGCCUUGUCCGGAAUUUCCUGGCCGUAAACGGAGCGCAAGUGGCUCCACCCCUCCGGGGGGAAAUCUCCCCGGUCAACCGGGAAGGGUCCCUGGAUACCCUAUGGGCUUUAGGAAGCAAACGAAACCGAAUUUCCUGCGUUCCCGCGAAAUACCCCAAUAAUUUGCGGGGAACACCCUGGGCACGGC